CUAAAAGGUUACUUUUUUCAAUUAUUUAAAAAAACACCGAAAAUUCAAGUAAUACAGAAAUAAGUAAAGGAGAAAGUCCCCUGUAAUUUUUCAUAGAGAAAGAGGAAGGAAUGGGGGGCAGCUGUGUAAGUCAAACAUGUUUGUAAAACUCCGUGAGUUUGAAACUAGUGAAAUAGAAAGUGAAAGCCUGCUAUAAUUAUGGUGGAAUUGAGGGUGUCUUAUUGUGUUACUAGAGAAUUUUUUUAAGUAGGUUUUUAACAUUUUGACCUUGUUAAAAUGCUCUACUUUUCAAAACAGUCCUGACAGGAUAUCCUGCUUCCUUCCAUGCAGAAGAGGUGGUUUGUGCAGAAGUGCAGGCCUCAGAAGGCUUUGCACAUAAGAGGAAUGGCAAGAGUUGCCUAUCACUGAGGAUUUGGGGAGGAGGGAUCACAGGAUAUGGGACUGAAAAUGAGACAGGGCCAGAUAGCAAAAGGCCUUGAAUGCUACACUAAGCACGAAGCAGCUCCUUAAUUUGAUAUCUGGUUGUGCAUCAUUGAAGCAAGAAUAGAGUGGAGGACAUGGCCCUUGUGGUCCUCGUGUUCUGAGUGGCUGUGAGAUGGAGUUCUGUGUGAGCUCUCUACGAAGAAAAUCCCGUCUCCAGGCAGUCAGUGGAGAUUUGAUCCUUACCACCAGAGCAUGUGGACAAAUUUGAAUUAUCGUGGAUGUAUAUGGGCAGAAGAAGAUCUCAGAGCCGUAAGGGUGGGGCCCUGUUAGCUCUGUUGGUUCCAUUUUGCAACCCACAGUGUGAGUGGGACCCUGCCAGCCCUGCUAGACGUGAGCAUUGUCUGGUGACACCGGUCACCGCCUUCAUUACUGCAGCAGAAGAAGUGUGGCUGUGGCAGUUGUGGGUUUUGUAUUUUCUAUUUAAAUAUGUCCUUUAAUGUGCCAGUUCUUAAAAAGACUACCAGUGGGCUCUGAAGGGAUGCCUGGACACUUUGAAAGUGUGGUUCAGAUGUGAAAUUGCAUUUAAAAGAUGUUUAAAGAGAGACGAGGGCACGUUGAUGUCAGUUUCGGUUUGGGCUGUGUAGUAGCAGCAUUUUGAACUUGGCCCUCUCUCCUUUCUGAGAGCUAAAGACCUUAUCUCCCUGCGGACGGCAUUGCGUCCAGUUAAUUAUGGCCAGAUGGACUCAGCCGCUUCUUUAUCGUCUUCUCUCGGACUCUGCAGACCUACACCGUGUCUUUAAAGGAAGCAGGGCCCUCCCUGCUGAAGCAUUCAGUGAGCCCAGGCACCAGCACCUUCAAACCCAGUCUUUUCUCUCCUUAGUGCUGCUCCCCAUUUUCCAGGCCUUCCUGGGAUAUCUUAGAGCUCCUGAAGGUGGGGCGCUCCCCUCGAGGCAUUUUCUUCUGAGCUGUGAGCCACGGGCAAGCGGUGGAGAGGGAGGAGAGCAGCUGAGACAGAUGCCAGUUCAACUCAUUUAAAGAUGUGGGACAAGCUCUGAGGAAGCCCCCAAGACAACGAUAUCUGGUUGUGCACCAUUGAAGCAAGAACAGAAACCAUCCAGAGUGGAAGACGUGGCCCAUGUGGUCCUCGUGUUCUGAGUGGCUGUGAGAUGGAGUUCCGUGUGAGCUCUCUACAGAAAAAGCCCUGUCUCCAGGCAGUCAGUGGAGAUUUGUUAAACGAGUUGAAACAAAAAAGGACAAGGAAUUGCUGUGGCUUUAGACAUUGCCAGGGCAUGUAGAACACUCACUCAGGAUUUACUUACUGCAUCCACUGUGACUUAGGCGCAGGAGGGGUCACAGUCAGAAGGUGACUACUGAGAAAUGUGCCCUACCCACAGUCUAGAAAAUUAAGUUUGGGCUGGGCGCGGUGGCUCACGUCUGUAAUCCCAGAACUUUGGAAGGCGGAGGCAGGUGGAUCACUAGGUCAGGAGUUUGAGACCAGCCUCACCAACAUGGUGAAACCCCGUCUCUACUGAAAAUACAAAAAGUAGCUGGGCAUGUCAGUGCACGCCUGUAAUCCCAGCUACUCAGGAACCUGAGGCAGGAGGAUGGCUUGAAACUGGGAAGUAGAGGUUGCAG
rnacentral:sRNA from 1 species